GACGAACGCUGGCGGCGCGCCUAACACAUGCAAGUCGAACGAGCGAGAGAGAGCUUGCUUUCUCGAGCGAGUGGCGAACGGGUGAGUAACGCGUGAGGAACCUGCCUCAAAGAGGGGGACAACAGUUGGAAACGACUGCUAAUACCGCAUAAGCCCACGGCUCGGCAUCGAGCAGGGGGAAAAGGAGCAAUCCGCUUUGAGAUGGCCUCGCGUCCGAUUAGCUAGUUGGUGGGGUAACGGCCCACCAAGGCGACGAUCGGUAGCCGGACUGAGAGGUUGAACGGCCACAUUGGGACUGAGACACGGCCCAGACUCCUACGGGAGGAAGCAGGGGGGAAUAUUGCACGAUGGGGGAAACACUGAGGCAGCGACGUCGCGUGGAGGAAGAAGGUCUUCGGAUUGUAAAUGCCUGUGGUUGGGGAAGAUAAUGACGGUACCCAACAAGGAAGUGACGGCUAACUACGUG
rnacentral:rRNA from 1 species